rnacentral:lncRNA from 1 species
AAAAGGUUGUGGAAGCAAAGCUUGGACGAAACUCUUUGCAGCAUUCGAUGUUUCCGUUGUCAUUGUAGAGGCAAUCUUUGAGGUCGAUGGUGCUGGUCACAGUGCUUCCGUCCUUGGCCUUGCAAGUUGCACUGAAAUCGCGUUCAUUGAAAAAGAGAUCUGCUUCUAAAUGGAAUUCGCUGCAUUUUGAGUAGUACCCAACGUUGGGGUAAAAAGACUCGCCGUAGUUGUUGCAAGUGAGCGUCCCGUCGGGCUUCACCUGGAGGCACCAUGCCAAGUCGAUGCUCGUGGGAGCAUAGAAGCGGCCUGAGCUCCU